UACAACCAAGCCACAUCCUCAGCCUCUGCUUGCAAUUCUCGAUAUAGCGUCCUACUGCUCUGAAAAAGCCCGGAUGGAACCUAGUCUGAUAAAGGAUGCGCAGGAGGCGUGGGUUGUACAGGUUUAAUAUAAGCCUUUUUUCCGAGAAGGAAGAAGAAAAAGAGAGCACUGGAAGGGAAUGCGAAGCAGAGGAAGUCGCAGCUAGCACCUUCGUGGAGAAAGGGCCAUGGAGGCUGGGUCUGAAUUCUAGCACGUUCCUAUGUGGCUGAGAAAAGAAGAAAAAAGCUCCGCCCCAUUCAGACAGCGCCAAGGAGAGGAACAGGGGGUCGUCCCAGCUGUGUCAACAUUGGAGAAAAUGAGUUAGUGAGCUGGAGUAAAGUCUUUGCAGGGA